GUUUGGCAGAACGGAAGCCUGUCUCUCCAUUUCAGAAGGGCCAGGGGAAGCAAGCCUCUGGCUUUCAGGACUCAUCUCUGUUUACUGGUUUGCAAGUUGGGAGUUCGCUUCUCUCUUCAGUCCUGAAAAGCAAUAGCCAAAUAUGGAAGGCGUGGAUAUGGGAUCGCAUACGCAGGCAGACUCUGGAAAUGGGGAGAGCCAUGCCUGUCCUUUCCUUUGCAUCGUGCGUUCACAUGACUACGAAUUCCACCCAAGGAUGUCUGGAGUUGGCCAAAUGGAGACCCCCAAGGACGUAAAGAAGCAGCAUGGAUAGUAGGGGGUAUCUGGAAAGCCGAAGCUCACAGACAAAAGGCCUGCACCAUCUCUGUCAUGGACAGCCUGGGCAUCUUGGGCUAAUUGGUCCUCCCACCCAACCCCCCAUCCAGAUAAACCCCCUUCCUGUCUCCAGUUAGGAAAAUAAAAAUAGGCAUUUAAGGUAUAAUAACAAUUAGCAAAAUAAAAUAUAAUAAGAUAAAACAAAAAUGAUCCCGUCAGACUUGGAUAGAAGAGCCUUUCAAUCUUAAGGUCCGCAGAGGAUUGUAUGGCACCCAUUAUUUGGCAUCGUCAGCAUCUGGUGCAGGAGCCAGCACAUCACAGCUGCGUAGUGACUACACAGUCACCGAAUCCUUCCUGGGGCUCAGGGGGCCUUUGAUAAACUGGAGACCCUGAGAACUGCACGGAUGAACUUGGCAGCUUAUGCAGGAAAGUAGUGCCUGCCGUGGAGGUCCCAGGACAAGUGGCAGCAGAAAUGGAAUCCUUCCGCUGUGCAGUAGAAGGGUCUGGGACCAACAGAUUUUCUUCCUAAGAGCAACGUGCUCCUGAAUGUUCAGCAGAGGCUGCUCUGGCAUGGUGCCAGUCUGAUGACUCAUGGACUCAUAACUCAAGGAUCUCGGCUGGCCCGAGCACAAAGCUGCAGGGGCACUGGCCAGCCCCACCUGCAUGACAUACUCAUAGACAGAAGGGGCACUGGUAACUUGCCAGGGUGGCGUGAGUCCCGGUAGAGAUGUUGACCACCCGUAAGAAAUCCAGACAUAUACACUACAAAGAAUUGUCUGUUAAUCUCCUGUGAGCAGGGUGCAAAUGUACUAGGCUCCGAAUAUAAGGGUUUCAUCUGUAAACUAAGAACGCAAGUUUCUGUCUCUUUGCAGCCCAGGCAAAUCCUCAGACUCAACCAUAAAGAGUGGAAAGGAAGAAGGGAGGUUGGCUUGGUCAUUUGACGGCCAGACUGUGAGUGUCAGAGCCCAGAGUCUGCUGGGGAGUUCACUAACUCCAAGGCAACUGAGCUCGCUAAUCCUUUUAAGUCAGGACAGACUUGUUUGUCUAGCAGGGAGGGAGGAGUGAAGCUUCAUUAGACUGCAGAAGUGGACAGGCUGAAGAAAAUCCCCUUAGACAGGUUGGUUGGCUUCACGGCCCUUGUUUUAACUUUCUUGUCAAGGCAUAUUGAAAAAAAAUUUAUAUCACCAGGGCAAAGCACCAGCUGGAAUUUCUUGCUCAAAGCAAAUCUCUCCAUGCCCACCUUGGCCACAACUUCAACCUUUUCAGAAAACUGCCCUUGAACUUUGACCUUUUGGUAAUGCUUGACCUCGAUGAGAUCUGGACUGUGUUUUGGCAAGGGUAGUCACUAGCGAGCGGGGUACUUGACUGUUC
ensembl:lncRNA